AGCCGCCACUUUCUAACCUAUUUCCACAGCCACCACCACCACAACCUCCACAGCCGCUGCUUUCUAACCUAUUUCCACAGCCACCACCACCACAACCUCCACAGCCACCGCUUUCUAACAUACUUCCACAACCACCACCACCACAGCCUCCACAACCGCUGCCACCACAGCCGCCGCUUUCUAACAUACUUCCACAACCACCACCACCACAGCCGCUGCCACAGCCACUGCCACAGCCACUGCUUUCUAACAUACUUCCACAACCACCACUUCCGCACCCACCACAACCACCACUCUUUAGUUUGUUUCCACAAACAGCACCACAACUGCCACAGGCUCCCCUCUUCAUAAGAUUACCGCAGCCUCCACUGAUUGCUUCAUUUGCGGGUGCUACAAUGCUUCCUUUGGUAGCCUCCAG
rnacentral:lncRNA from 1 species